GGUAUAUGGAUUUUAUUUCAUAUAUUUAUGGUAUGUGGCUCUGGAAAUGCUGUUAGAUGCAUCUAUCAUAUCUUAUCAAAUACAUGAAUUAUGAAGAGGUCCAUGCAGCUGACCACAAAUAUUUGAGGAAAAUCUUUACCCUUGUNAUGGGUUGUAUUUAACUUGAAUUACACAAUGCAACAAACUGGUGAGAUAAAUCCAACCUAUGCAUCCUUUACACAGGUUGAAAAAUCAGAUUUUUUGUUGACAUCUUGGGCUUUAUAACUCUUUCUGCUUGUG
rnacentral:misc_RNA from 1 species